GGGGAAUUUUCCGCAAUGGGCGAAAGCCUGACGGAGCAAUACCGCGUGAGGGAUGACGGCCUAUGGGUUGUAAACCUCUUUUUUCAGGGAGGAUAAUGACGUGUACCUGAAGAAUAAGCAUCGGCUAACUCCGUGCCAGCAGCCGCGGUAAGACGGGGGAUGCAAGUGUUAUCCGGAAUCACUGGGCGUAAAGCGUCUGUAGGUGGUCCAAUAAGUCAACUGUUAAAUCUUGAGGCUCAACUUCAAAAUCGCAGUCGAAACUAUUAGACUAGAGUAUAGUAGGGGUAAAGGGAAUUUCCAGUGGAGCGGUGAAAUGCGUAGAGAUUGGAAAGAACACCGAUGGCGAAGGCACUUUACUGGGCUAUUACUGACACUCAGAGACGAAAGCUAGGGUAGCAAAUGGGAUUAGAUACCCCAGUAGUCCUAGCCGUAAACAAUGGAUACUAGAUGUUGAACAGAUCGACCUGUGCAGUAUCAAAGCUAACGCGUUAAGUAUCCCGCCUGGGAAGUAUGCUCGCAAGAGUG
rnacentral:rRNA from 1 species